rnacentral:rRNA from 1 species
CGCCCUACGGGGGAAAGGGGGGGAUUCUUCGGAACCUCUCACUAUUGGAGCGGCCGCGGAUUAGCUAGUUGGUGGGGUAAAGGCUCACCAAGGCAACGAUCCGUAGCUGGUUUGAGAGGACGACCAGCCACACUGGGACUGAGACACGGCCCAGACUCCUACGGGAGGCAGCAGUGGGGAAUUUUGGACAAUGGGGGAAACCCUGAUCCAGCCAUCCCGCGUGUAUGAUGAAGGCCUUCGGGUUGUAAAGUACUUUUGGCAGAGAAGAACCUCCAAAGGUAUCUCAUACGAGAUACUGCUGACGGUAUCUGCAGAAUAAGCACCGGCUAACUACGUGCCAGCAGCCGCGGUAAUAGUAGGGUGCAAGCGUUAAUCGGAAUUACUGGGCGUAAAGCGUGUGUAGGCGGUUCGGAAAGAAAGAUAAAGAACUUGAUUCGAUGUGAAAUCCCAGGGCUC